rnacentral:rRNA from 1 species
UAGGGAAUCUUCGGCAAUGGGGGCAACCCUGACCGAGCAACGCCGCGUGAGUGAAGAAGUUUUUCGGUUCGUAAAGCUCUGUUGUAAGAGAAGAACGUGUGUGAGAGUGGAAAGUUCACACAGUGACGGUAACUUACCAGAAAGGGACGGCUAACUACGUGCCAGCAGCCGCGGUAAUACGUAGGUCCCGAGCGUUGUCCGGAUUUAUUGGGCGUAAAGCGAGCGCAGGCGGUUUAAUAAGUCUGAAGUUAAAGGCAGUGGCUUAACCAUUGUUCGCUUUGGAAACUGUUAAACUUGAGUGCAGAAGGGGAGAGUGGAAUUCCAUGUGUAGCGGUGAAAUGCGUAGAUAUAUGGAGGAACACCGGUGGCGAAAGCGGCUCUCUGGUCUGUAACUGACGCUGAGGCUCGAAAGCGUGGGGAGCAAACAGG